UGUGUUCAUGUCCUCUACAGUCCCUCGCUCUUCUCGCCUCGUCUCUCCUCUCUCUCUCUCUCUCUCUUAGGGGAGACUGCUGUGUUCAUGUCCUCUCAGUCCCUCGCUCUUACUCAGCCUCUCUCUCUCUCUCUCUCUCCUCUCUCUUCUUAGGAGACUGCUGUGUUCUGUCCUUCUCAGUCCCCGUCUUUACUCAGCCUCUCUCUCUCUCU
rnacentral:lncRNA from 1 species